CAGAUCUCACAAAGUUGCCCAGACUGGCCAUAAACUUGCAAUCUUCCUGCCUCAGCAUCCCCAGUCAUUGGGAUUUCAGGUAUGUGCCCAUGGUACUGGCUGCCCCGGCACCAUAUUUCCUUCAAUGAAUAGUUUUUGUUCCUCUGUCAAAAUCAUUUGAGCAAAAAUUAGAUAAUGAUAAAAGGUCAGUUGGACAUUUUUGUGGGUGUGUAGCUAUGCUCUCCCUUGUGCUCCAUUGAUUAUACAUCUACCUCCACCAAUACCAGUCUUGAUUACUAUAACUAAAGAGUUUUGAAAUCAAUCUGUUUGCUUCUACUUUGUUAUGAUUUGGGUCUUUAAUGUCCCCUGAAAAGCUUACAUUUUGAAAGCAUGGUCCCCAGUAGGGAAAAGUUUGAGAAGUGGGGCUUUUAGGAUGAUUAGGUCACACAGACAGUUACUUUAUCAAGAGAUUAGCUCAUUUGAUAGUAAUAAUGUGAACGGGUGGUAACUGUGGGCAUUGUGAGCUGGGAAUAGAGGAAGAAAGUCACUGGGGGCAUGUCCUUGGACUUGUCAAUGUUUUGUUGAUUUUCUCUCUUGUUUUAAUGUUUCCAAUUUUAUUGAUUUCUGCUUAUUAUGUCUGCAUUUGCUUUCCCAUGGGUUACCUGAACAUUUUUUUAGAAUUCCAUUUUAAUGGAUCUUGAUGUCUUCUAUGAAGCCAUUUCAGUGGUUGCUGUAGGUGUCUGUAGGUAUUAACAUCAUACAUAUGCAUUGAUCAUAUACAUCUUAAGACACCUGUUUCAUCAUCACUUCAUCUGUUCUAGCCAAGUAGAAACAUCUUUCCUUCUUUUAUGUCUCUUAACACUCCCCUAUUUAUAACUAUUUCAGGUAUUUCCUCUAAGUAAUUUUAGAACCUCAUUAAUGUCAUAAUUUUUGCUUCAACCAUUUAACAACUUAGAUGUCUUGAAAGGAGAAGGUAAGUCUAUAUUGUAUUUGCCCAGAGUUUUUCCCACUGGAUUUAUUUCUUCCUCCAAUUGCAAGCUCAUCCAUUUAUCAUUUUUUUCAUGCUUAAAGAACAUCCUUUAGACUAUUAUUAUUAUUAUCACUAUUAUUGUUGUCACUCUUUUGACAACAAAUUCUCUUUAGUUUUCCUUAAUCUGAAAAUGUCUGGAUAGUUCUACAUUUCCACAGGAUGUUUUCAAAGGACAUAAAAUUCUAGAUUGAUAGUUCUUUUAUUUCAUCACUUGAAAAGUAUUAUGUUACUUUUUUCUGGCUUCCAUGAUUCCUCAUGAGAAAUCCAGUUUUUCAGAUGCUUCCCCCACCAUAGGUAAGGUAUCAUUUGUCUUCUUUUUUUCUUUCUCUCUUUGUUUUUAUUUUCAUGGUGUGUUGCAGGGCAGAUUAUUUUUAACUUAUCAUAUUUUAAGAUUGAUCAUCUUCUUGAAUCUGUGUGUUUAUGACUUUUGCCAAAUUUAGAGAUUUUUCAGCCAUUAUUUUUCCAAGUAUUUUUUCAGCCUAACCACCUUCUUUCCUUUGCAACUCUGAUGAUACAAACAUUAGUUAUUUUUUUAUAGUCCCAAAAGUUCUUGAAAAGUCUUUUGCAAUUAUUUUGCCUAUUGUUUAGACUGGAUAAUUUCUAAUGUUUUAUCUUCAAGUCUAUUGAUUUUUUCCCCCGGUAUCUUCUAUUCUCUUAUUAAAUCCUUCAAUCCAGUGUUUUACUUUGGUUUCUGUAGUUUGCAGCUCUAAAAUUUCCGACCCUUUACAGAAAAUGCUGAAUUUUGCUAUGGUGGAGAGGACUAACUUAGACAAAAGCUGAUUUCCUUUAAACCAGAUGGAUAGAUAGAUAGACAGACAGACAGAUAGAUAGAUAAUACAAUAUCAGCAAAAUGUCAUAUAAGCCAGGAAAUACCUAAGUGGGGAAUAACCAAGCUGAUUCAGUUAAGAUCAUUUAUUUCAAAUUUAGAGAACAUACAUGUUCCUCAGGCAGGCCUGUGAUUUAGAAGGAAAAUGGUGGAAGAAUGUUUUAUCAUCUCUAAUUAAAGAAAGAGUUCUUAGAAAAUACACAAAAUAUUAACCAUCUACAUAAAAUCAGCCACUUUUUAUUUAAAAGUCUUCUAGAAAUAGUGUUUGUUGAUGAAGAAGCACAGAAGAGGCCAGUCAGCUAAUUAGUGUCUACUAUUCUAAAACUCUUUCCAUCGCAUAAUGGGUACCAUCCAUCUGAGGGUCUCUUGUGCAAGAGCAAGGGCAUGGUGUCAAAUAUCACAAAAAAGCUUUCAUUGUUUUUUUCUUAUCAAUGUAAAGGAGAUUUUCUUUAAUAUUAAGAUAUGUAAUUGUUUCUAAUGCCCAAGUUACAGCCAUUCUCAGUACUUGUUAGUACUUCUUGGUUGUCUACCCAGCAUCCAUAGCACCUUUGUCAGUUCUUCAUGGCCCUCAGUUUUCCUUUUGGAAUAGUUGCUCUCCUCUCUUGGUUAGCAGACAUUAUGUCUGCAUGGAUUGACUCCAUCCUAACUCCAAAGGUGAUAGGCAUUACUUUACACAAAUCAGUCAGCCGACUCAUAUUCCUUUACCUCCAUGAUUGGUUCAGACAUGGGCAGAAAGCAAUCAGCUUGUGAUUUUCCUCCCACCUAUGAUCUGGUUAGGGCAACAUGUAGAAGGUAGUACUCUGGGAGUGAAGCCAGAUACUAAUGAAAUAUUGUAAUAAUGAUGAGAGAGGAUACAGCAGGGAAAAGACAUGAGGGUGGGUAGAGUCAUUCAUUUAUUCAUUCAAUAAGCAUUUGCUGAGUAAUUCACAAAUGCUGGGCCCUGAGAAAAAGCAAAAAUUUUAUUCAUCAAAAUCUGACACUGGUUACAAUAAGAUAGUUGAUAGUUUCCACACUUAAUGAGAAACAGAUAUCUCAUCCUUGAAUUUAGGAAGACUUUUGUUUUCCCAAUCAGGAAUUUUAGUUCCAGAAGAAGAAUAAAACAAUGAAAACAUUGUAUAAAAGUUCUCUUUCAAACUUUUUUUCAGCCCAUGGUUUUUUCACCCUCAUCAUCAUGGUGCUGAGAGGCCUCAGGAACACAAAUGGCUCUGUGUUCAGACCAAGUACUUGGCCUCCAGAAGAUGAAUGAUCAGACCUACUCACCAUAUGAUUAUAAGGGUCAGGUAGUUUAAAAAGAAAUUACAAUCUGAAUUGAACCAAGGAUGAACAGUGUUGCUAUUGAGCUACAAAUCCCAGCUAAUAAGCAUAACCUUGUAAAGAGAGGUUAGUGUUUGGGAAACUGCAUGUUCUUGCAGAAGGGCAAAGCUUUUGCAAUAUAAAUAGUUGUAAGGGUACUAGCUUUCAUCUUUGAUGCCUUAAACGUCUGUAUUUAGAGUUUUUGUGUCCAGGGCUAGAUUGAGUAUUUUAGAAAUUGUGAACACUGGAAAGAUUGUGAUGACAACCCUUCUGUAACUCGAAAGAAAAUUUAUUUUUCCAAAAUGUUGCAAAACUCACAUGAAUACUAAAAUUAAAAUGGCUUUUUUCUCUGUAUUUCCUUAUUUCAAAGUGCUGAAUAAAUUCAUCUGUUUAGUUUUCUUAGUCAUUUCUGAUUCCUCUGUUUUGUGGAUGCCCUCAAUGCUUGCUUAGCCUAAUUCAGCAUUGAUUGCAUUACAAGUAUCUACCAGUCUUUCUUUAUUUUCCAAAAUAAAGAUGGAGAGGAAAAAUGUUAUUUAGAGAGGAAUUUGAUCACUUAUGGCAAAGAAUGUGCUUUGAUUUAGGUUCCUCUGAGCUUAUUAAGAGCGUACUUGAAUCCUAAAUGUGUCCUUUUCUUACACAAUGACAAAGUAAUAUGAGUUUUAGAAAAACAGUGCAGGUCCAAAUCUUCACACUGUAGAGUGUUUCUUUAAGACUAAACCUGAUUGGAGCAGACACUCAGAUGGGUAAGGAUCACUGUGAUUCACUUUGGUUCCAAAGGCAGGCCAGCCUCUGGCUUUACUAAGGUUUUAAUUUCUAAGACUUGGUUGAAGUAUGCCUCAGAAGAGGGUGAGUUUGAGCCAGUCAUUUUUUAAAAAAUAUUUUUUAGUUGUCAAUUGACUUUUAUUUUAUUUAUUUUUAUGUGGUGCUGAGAAUCAAACCCAGUGCCUCAUACAUGCUAGGCAAGUGCUCUCCCACUGAGCUACUACCCCAGCCUGAGCCAGUCAUUUUUGACUAAAUAAAGAAGAAUGCUUGAAAAUCUACUAUCUCCUCUUCUUCAAAGCUGAAGAAUGCUUGAAAAUCUACUCUUUCCUCUUCUUCAAAGAUGUUUAUGUUUUAAAAGAUUUUUUGUUUGUUCUUUUAAAAUUAAUUUAUUUAUUGAUUGAUAUGUUUGUUCCAUGGUAUGGAGAACAAAUUAAAAGACUUGACAGCUGCUGCUUAAUGAUUGCAUAUGAUAUUUCAUUAUUACUAUUAUUUAUGUUUUUAGAAUCUCAAAACCUUAAAUUCUCUGAAACAAAGCAAGAGGAAAUUGAAUUUUUCCUUUUUUUUUUCCUGAUCGUUUUGGAUGAAUAGUUAACUAGAAAAACAUUGUCAUAUCAAAAUCUUAAAACAAUGGCUG
rnacentral:lncRNA from 1 species